rnacentral:rRNA from 1 species
CCUACGGGAGGCAGCAGUGGGGAAUAUUGGACAAUGGGCGAAAGCCUGAUCCAGCAAUUCCGCGUGUGUGGAGAAGGCCUUCGGGUUGUAAAGCACUUUAGUGGGGGAAGAAACAGCUUGGCCACACCAAGCCUUGACGGUACCCCAAGAAUAAGCACCGGCUAACUCUGUGCCAGCAGCCGCGGUAAUACAGAGGGUGCAAGCGUUAAUCGGAUUUACUGGGCGUAAAGGGUGCGUAGGUGGCUAUUUAAGUCGGAUGUGAAAGCCCGGGGCUCAACCUCGGAAUUGCAUUCGAUACUGAGUGGCUAGAGUUCGGUAGAGGGCGGCGGAAUUUCCGGUGUAGCGGUGAAAUGCGUAGAUAUCGGAAGGAACAUCAAUGGCGAAGGCAGCCGCCUGGGCCUGGACUGACACUGAGGCACGAAAGCGUGGGUAGCAAACAGGAUUAGAUACCCUGGUAGUCCACGCCGUAAACGAUGAGAACUUGACGUUGGUUCGUUUUACGAAUCGGUGUCGCAGCUAACGCGAUAAGUUCUCCGCCUGGGGAGUACGGCCGCAGGUUGAAACUUAAGGAAUUGACGG